rnacentral:lncRNA from 10 species
CUGUGGAGCUGAUGAAAUCCUGCAGGGAGCUUCACGGUGACAGCAAGAGGAGAAACACAUCCCCAUAUGCCCCGCAGAGUUUGAAGUCCCGGCUGCACCUCUCCCCAGCAGCAGGUUGACUCUGGAAAGUUGCAGCGUUCUUACCUACAGAGUGGGAACAGUACUACCCAUUGCACAGAGUGGGUGCAAAGCUCUGUGACGGAAUACAUGGAUUCUUUGCCCAUAAAGUGGAGCACGAAAGCAGGACCCAGAAUGGGAGGAGCUUCCAGAGGACCGGAACACUUGCCUUUGAGCGGGUCUACACUGCCAAGUGAGUCCUAACCCUGAUGUUGCUAAUAAGUGGGGGCAUGGGCAGGGGGGCCUCCUUCUAGGAGUGAUGACCACCCUUAAUACCACAUGUCUGUCUGAGCCAAGUUUCUGAGCGCCAGGGAGGUGAGGAAGGUUGGACUUCACCAGAGAGGCUUUGUGGACACCCUUUAUCAUCUUAGUGAGUGCUAGUGUCAAAACAAAGGGAGUGGGGAUAUGGGGCACAUUGGUGGAGGGAGGU